rnacentral:rRNA from 1 species
UACGAAGGGGGCUAGCGUUGCUCGGAAUCACUGGGCGUAAAGCGCACGUAGGCGGCUUCUUAAGUCAGGGGUGAAAUCCUGGAGCUCAACUCCAGAACUGCCUUUGAUACUGAGAAGCUUGAGUCCGGGAGAGGUGAGUGGAACUGCGAGUGUAGAGGUGAAAUGCGUAGAUAUUGGGAGGAACACCAGUGGCGAAGGCGGCUCACUGGACCGGUACUGACGCUGAGGCGCGAAAGCGUGGGGAGCGAACAGG